rnacentral:rRNA from 1 species
UGGGGAAUAUUGGACAAUGGGGGGAACCCUGAUCCAGCCAUGCCGCGUGUGUGAAGAAGGCCUUAUGGUUGUAAAGCAUUUUAAGCGAGGAGGAGGGUACUGGUAUUAAUACUACCAGGUACUGGACGUUACUCGCAGAAUAAGCACCGGCUAACUCUGUGCCAGCAGCCGCGGUAAUACAGAGGGUGCGAGCGUUAAUCGGAUUUACUGGGCGUAAAGCGUGCGUAGGCGGCUAAUUGAGUCGGAUGUGAAAUCCCCGAGCUUAACUUGGGCAUUGCAUUCGAUACUUGUUAGCUAUAGUGUGGGAGAAGAUGGUAGAAUUCCAGGUGUAUCGGUGAAAUGCGUAGAGAUCUUGAGGAAUACCGAUGGCGUAUGCAGCCAUCUGGCCUAACACUGACGCUGAGGUACGAAAGCAUGGGGAGCAAACAGG